rnacentral:pre_miRNA from 1 species
UGAUGAUGAUGAUGAUGAUGAUGAUGAUGAUGAUGAUGAUGAUGAUGAUGAUGAUGUAAACCCCACAAUGUUUUUAGGGCAUGCUGAAAUACGAUGUCGAAAUGAAGAAGAAAUAUGGAUCAAUAUAUGGGUAAACUAUUUUUACAAUGCCCUUUGAAAUAAUUCACCCAUCAUCAUCAUCAUCGUCGUCGUAAUCAUUACUAAUACUACCAUCACUAUCGUCAUCAUCUUCGUCAUCAUCAUCGUCAUCAUCGUCU